rnacentral:lncRNA from 1 species
CACUCUAAAAAAAGAAAAAAAAAAGACAUUUCUGAAGAAGAAACAUUCUUUUUUCUCACUGUUUUCAAAGGGAGACAAAGCAGGGUUUUAUGAAAAUUACCAAAGAGGAAGGUGAGAAAAAUAAUACUUAAUUUUUUUUAAUAAUUCGAAGAAGAUCAAAAAAUAAUUUGAGCUUUGGUAAUUAGCAAGUUGUUUUGGUAAGCAGAAGCAAAAGUUUGAGCUUUUGGGAUUCCAAAGUGAAGCUCUCAAUUAGGGGGGGGGGGGGGGGUUUCCAAUUAUUUGGAUCAACUAAUCAAGGUAAAGUUCAUUUUUUUAAAGUUAUUAAUUACUGCAAUUAUUGUUGAAAUUUAAUUUGAGUAUAUUUUGCUUUCUGUGAUUGUGAUUGUGUUUUCCUCUAUUGUUUUGCUGCAUUAAUUGCAAUAUAGUGUUUAAUUCAAUCCUUUGUGUGCUAUUUCUUGUUUUAUAUGUUAGAAAAAUAUGAACUUUACGCAUUUUAGGCUUACAGUAGUCCAAUUCUUGACUAGGUUUUCAUUUUCCUAUUUUGUGGUCUUUUUUAGGUUGAAAUUGUUCUAGGGUUUAGCUUUAGUUUUGUUUUUCCAGUUGUCUAAUUAAGUCUUUUUAUUUUUUUCCUUUUCAUGAAGAAUUUGUAAACCCAAAAUUCCUUUUAGUUUUGGAUAGUGAAGAUUUUGGUCCUACUAUUGCAUUUGCUAUACACUAAUUUUUUUUCCCUUCGUUUGAAAAUUUUCUUUUCAGGUUGACAAGAAGUAAAAGUUCUCGGAA